CGGACGGGUGAGGAACACGUGGGUUAUCUACCUUGAGGUGAGGAAUACCGGCGAGAAAUCGCCGACAAUACCGCAUAUCCUUUGCACAAAGGAAAGCUUCGCAAGAGGCGCCACAAGAUGAGCCUGCGGCCGAUUAGCUAGUUGGUGGGGUAACGGCCUACCAAGGCGACGAUCGGUAGCUGGUCUGAGAGGACGAUCAGCCACACUGGGAUUGAGAACGGCCCAG
rnacentral:rRNA from 1 species